rnacentral:lncRNA from 1 species
CCUCCUCCUCGUCCCCGCCCCCCUGCGGGUCGCUUCCCCCGCCGCCUCCGCCCCCAGAUCCCGCACCGUCUCCGCCUUCCGAUCCGCCGCCGCCGAGCUCGGGCUCCUUGGACGCGACGGCCGCGAGGAGGCGGGCGCCGGGGGAGGCGGAGCGGAGCGAGAGGAGGGCCCGGGGGCGGGCGCGCGCAGGAAGAGGAGGGAGCUCUGGGAGGCGGAGAUCGGGGCCGGGGAGAAGGCGAGGGGCGCGAGGAGUGGGGUCGUGGCGAGGAGGGCCAUGGUUGCCGGUGCUCGAGCUGGGGUUUUGUGGGGGGUCAACUCGGUGGGUGGGCUGCCGGCGGUGGUGAGCUCGGUGAUGUGAUGGACUGCUGAUGUGAUGGGGGAUUUUCCGGGGUGGGUGGCGUGUCACUGUGGGUGGGGCCUUGGGUUUCUAGGCACUUCGAUGGUUUUUCGGCAAAAUGUACAAAAGUGAAUUGAAGAAGCAACAAAUUCAUAAAGUGAACCGUUUUGGAAUUUCUUUACUGGUAUAUUCUUUUAUGUGGCGUUCGACACAAUGUGGCGUUUGACGCACAGAAGCCGCACCACCGGCCAUGCUGGCAUCCCGAUGUCAGGUCUGGCCCCUUCCUCCGGAGUGGAGUGCUUAAAGCCAAGGCGCCACACUUGCAAUGCGUCGUGUCUAAGAUAAAGGUGUUACAUAUUGCCUUAUCAGCGUGGGUCGGCCCUCCCCCAUCGUCACCCACACACAUCUCAAGAACAAUAGCUCCGGCUCCUCGAGUCCCCCCCCCCCCCGCCCUCUCAAAUCCCUCCCCAAAUUAAGCAGGUCUCGAAGGUUUGGUCUGUGGAUUUCAACCCCAAUCCCUCCCUUAAGGUAAUCUUCUUCGAUCUCCUUCCUCUUAUUAAAAAAAUUCUCUCGUUUGCUCACUUUUUNNNNNNNNNNNNNNNNNNNNNNNNNNNNNNNNNNNNNNNNNNNNNNNNNNNNNNNNNNNNNNNNNNNNNNNNNNNNNNNNNNNNNNNNNNNNNNNNNNNNUUUUUCUCUCAUUUUUUUUGAAUGGGCUCUUUGGCCUUCUUUUUUUUAUUUUUUAUUUUUAUUUUGGUGGGCAUCUUUGGCCUCUUUUAUUUCCUCACAUGGGACAAUGCUCCAUCAAUGAUGAUCAUCACACUUACAACUCAAAACUUAGAGCAACGAUGACUCUAUAUGGAAUGCCUUCGGUAGUGUACUGUGACAAUGAUCUAGCAUGGCAUAGACAUUAAUGGAAACAUCAUGCUACUAUAUUAAUAUCAUGCAAUGGCAAUGUAGAAGUGGUGGCACAUGUCAUGGUGGUAGUUGCAUGGCAAUAUAUCUCGGAAUGACUUUGAAAAAGCCAUAGUAGGUAGGUAUGGUGGUUGUUUUGAGGGAGGCUAAUGGUGGGUUUUGUGCACCGGCGAAAGUUGCACGGCACUAAGAAGAUAGUGAUGGUGAAAGGUGAAAGUGAAUCUAAACCAUGGACUCAACAUUAGUCAUGAAGAACUCAUAUACUUGUUGCAAAAGUUUUAUUAGUAAUCGAAACAAAGCAAUCAACGCAUACUCCUAGGGGAAGGGUUGGUAGGUAUAAACCAUCGCGCGAUCCCGACCGCCACACAAAGGAUGACAAUCAAAAGACUAAUCAUGCUCAGACUUCAUCACAUAGCGGUUCACCAUACGUGCAUGCUACGGGAAUCACUAACUUCAACACAAGUAUUUCUAGAUCCACAACACCUUACUAGCAUAACUCCAAUAUUACCACAACCACAACUCAAAACUAAUUGAGAUGAAUCAAACUUCUCUAACUAUUCAAUGCACAUGAAGGUGGAAGUUUUCAUAUCCCUUUGGAUAACUACCCCUUUUGAGACUACUUUCAAAGCAUAGAUCAACUAUCAAGCCACGCACCGCUGUGCUCUAAAAGAUAUAAGUGAAGCACACAGAGCAAAAUCUACUAGCUCAAAAGAUAUAAGUGAAGCACAUGUGAGCUGAAUUGUCUACCAAAGGAUAUAAGUGAAGCUCGACAAAAUCACGGUGAGUGCAUGUCUCUCUCUCUAGGUGUGCAGCAAGGAUGAUUGUGACACAACAAAAAUAAAAGACUCCUACGAUACAAGACGCUCCAAGCAAAACACAUAACAUUUGGUGAAUAAAAAUAUAUCCCCAAGUAACGUUACCGAUGGAUUGAAGACGAGAGAGGGGAUGCCUUCCCGGGGCAUCCCCAAGAUUAGGCUUUUACGGCAUCCUUUAAUCUCUUGGGGUGCCUUGGGCAUCCCCAAGCUUGAGCUCUUGCCACUCUUUAUCUCUUUGUCCAUAAGAACUUCACCCAAAACUUGAAAACUUCACAACACGAAACUUAAACAGAAACUCGUGAUAACAUUAGUAUAAGAAAGCAAACCACCAGUUCCUUAGGUACUGUAGAAAACUUAAAUUCUACUUAUGCUGAUGUUGGGUUACUGUAUUUUCAAUCUUCCAUGGCUAAUAUCCCCCGAUACUAUCCAUAGUUUCAUCAAAAUAAGCAACCAACACAACAAAAACAGAAUCUGUUAAGAGCAGACCAGUCUGUAGCAAUCUGUAUACUUCGUAUACUUGUGGUACUUCAAAAAUUCUGAAAAAUUACAGAAGUCUAAAGAAUUUUCGUAGCAAUCAUCAGCAAAAAAUCAACUCAAAAGCUCUUACAUAAAAAAAAGAAAAUUCUUUUCGUGAGCAGAAAGUUUCUGUCUUUUCCAGCAUGACCAAACGAUCAUCCCCAAGACUAAUCAUAACUGUUUUGCUUGGCACAAACGCAAAAAGAAACACAAAAAACACAAUCAUAACAGAAUUAUGAAAGUGUUGAAAACACAAAACAGAAAGAAAAAGGAUAGAUUCGUUAGGUUGCCUCCCAACAAGCGCUUUUGUUUAACGCCCUUAGCUAGGCAAAAGGUGAUGGAAUCACGUAUAGUCAUCUUUGGUGCUCAAACCAUAAGUAGCCCUCAUCAUAGAUUCAUAAGGCAAUCUUAUUUUCUUUCUAGGAAAGUGCUCCAUGCCCUUCUUUAAAGGAAAUUGAAAUCUAAUAUUCCCUUCCUUCAUAUCGAUGAUGGCACCAAUAGUCCUUAGGAAAGGUCUACCAAGAAUAAUGGGACAUGAAGGAUUGCAAUCUAUGUCAAGUACAAUGAAAUGCACGAGUACAUAGUUCUUAUUUGCAACAAUAAGAACAUCCUCGAUCCUUCCCAUGGGUUUCUUAAUAGUAGAAUCCGCAAGAUGCAAAUUAAGAGCACACUCUUCAAUCUCAUGAAAACCAAGAAUAUCACAUAAAGACUUUGGAAUCGCGGAAACACUAGCACCCAAAUCACACAAAGCAUUGCACUCAUAGUUUUUGAUCUUGAUUUUGAUAGUAGGUUCCCACUCAUGAUGAAAUUUUCUAGGUAUAGAGACUUCUAGUUCGAGCUUCUCUUCAAGAGAUUUCAUCACAACAUCUACGAUAUGCGCGGUAAAGGCUUUGCUUUGGCUAUAAGCAUGUGGAGAGUUUGCAAUGGAUUGCAUCAAAGAAAUGCAUUCAAACAAGGAGCAAUUAUCAUAAUUGGAUUCCUUGAAAUCCAAAGUGGGAGUUUCAUUACUACCCAAAAUUUUCAUUUCUUCUACUCCAUUCUCCAUAGCUUUAUCAUCAAGAUGGGUAGACUCCGAAUCAUUGGGGCAUUUUUCAACCAAAGUGGAUUCAUAUCCAGCCCCUUCAUCAAUAGGUUUGACACGCGAAAACAAAGAUUCAAGAGGAGUCACACCAAGCACUUUAAGAUCUUCGUGAUUUGCAUCACUAGAACGCACCCUUUUAAAUCAUUCAUGCCUAGCGCGAAUGUGGGCGGUUCUUUCUUUGCUCUCAUUCAUGGAGACACGCAUAGUGACUCCGUAACAGCAGACCUUCCCUUGCAACGACACCAGAAGAAUGUUGCUAGCACUCUCCGGCAAUCGAAACUAGAAGAAUGUUGUUGACGGCCCACCAAAGCGUGGGAUCGUAGCAGUUUUCGAGGGUAGAGUAUUCGACCCAAAUUUGUUGGUACGCCUAUAGGAGGUGAGAGGAUACUCUCAAGUAUUAGCAGCUGAAUAUGACACUUGAAAGAUUAGUAUCUGCAAGCAAAGUAGUAACAGAGAAGUAGCUAGUAACGGCAGUGGCAAGGAACAACAGUAGUGACAGCAGCAACAAGUAGCAACAGUAGCAGCAGAGCAAGACAAGUAACAGCAGCAGAGCAAGACAAGUAACAACAACAGUAGGACAAACUCGUAGGCAAUGGGUCGGUGAUUUGUUUGGAUGAUAUUCAUCAUGCAACAGUUAUAACACGGAGAGAUAUGUGGCUAGCUCCCGUUCGUCAAUGUGAUGUAGGCAUGCAUUCCGUGUGUCGUCAUACGUGCUUAGGGAAAAAGAACUUGCAUGACAUCUAUUGUCCAUCCCUCCCGUGGCAGCGGGGUCCAAAAGAAAACUACGGGAUAUUAAGGUUCUCCUUUUAAUAAAGAACCGGACCAACGCAUUAGCACUUGGUGAACACAUGAACUCCUCAAACUAUGGUCAUCACCGGGAGUGGUUCCGGUUAUUGUCACUCCGGGGUUGCCGGAUCAUAACACAUAGUAGGUAACUACAACUUGCAAGAUCGGAUCUAAAACACACAUAUAUUGGUGACAACAUAAUAAUUUCAGAUCUGAAAUCAUGGCACUCGGGCCCUAGUGACAAGCAUUAAGCAUGGCAAAGUAGUAGCAACAUCAUCUUAGAACAUAGUGGAUACUAGGGAUCAAUCCCCAUCAAAACUAACUUGAUUACAUGAUAGAUCUCAUCCUACUCAUCACCGCCCAUCGAGCCUACGAAUAGAUUACUCACGAACGACGAAGAGCUUCAUGGAAUUGGAGAGGGACGAAGGUUGAUGAUGACGAUGUCGACGAUUUCCCCUCUCCGGAGCCCAAGACGGACUCCAGAUCUGCCCUCGAGAUGAAGAACAGGUUGUGGCGACGCCUCCGUAUCGCAAACACGACGAAAUCUUCUCUUUUUAUUUUUUAUGGGACGAAAGUGAACUUAUAGAGCUGAGAUUGGGGGCGGCAGAGCCGUGUGAGCCCCACAAGCUUGCCCACCGCCACCAUGGGGGUGGCGGAGGCAGGGCUUGUGGCCCACUGGCCCACCCCCUCAGGUGGAUCUUGGCACAUAUAUUUUUCAUAUUUUCCAAAAAUGCUCCCCGUAAAUUUUUAGGACGUUUGGAGAACUUUAAUUUCUGCACAAAAACAACACCAAGGCAAUUUUGGUGAAAACAGCGUCAGUCCAGGUUAGUUCCAUUCAAAUCAUGCAAAUUAGAGUCCAAAACAAGGGCAAAAGAGUUUGGGAAAGUAGAUACGAUGGAGACGUAUCACAUAGCUUUCAAAGUUUCAUCCAAGUUGACCUUGGGAGGAGCACAUCUAACUUUCAAAGCAUCAAUAUCACAAGACAUCCUAUCAACGCUCUUAGCCAAAUCGUCUAUUUUUAGUAGUUUUUCCUCUAUGGACGCAUUGAAAAUGUUUUGAGAGUUGAUGAACU